GGGCCCGUGGUCCAGUUGGUUAACCCAUAGUUGAGGCCAAAAGACGCUUCCCUCACGCGGAAGAGAUCGCCGGUUCAAAUCCGGCCGGGCCCACCA
rnacentral:tRNA from 1 species